ACACAAAACCAAGAAACUUAUCUAGGUAACCAAGGCAGGCAACAUCAACAAGAGAAAAUGGAGGGUAAGAGGAUGGUCACUAGCACUACCACUUUGAAGGUGAUCAUGUGCCUGCUCAUCCUGAGCCUCACCGUAAACUCGACCACCGCAGACUGUGGCUGCUGCAUAAGCUUAGCCGCAAAAGGAUGUUGUUCUACUUGUAUUUUUGCGGGUGGCUCUGACUUUGCCUGCAAGAACACUUGUUGUUUCCCUGUAUUCUUGAAGAUUCUGUGGUUGCUAAGAUGGAUGAAAUGGGAGUGGCUUCGAAGAUGGAAGGACUGUACUAAAACGAUAUGCUUGCAUUGCUACCAACAUGGAUGCCAUUCAUCGGCAUAUGUUGGAUUGCUUCGAUCUAUGGCCAAGUUAUGCUAAUGUUUACCUCCAAUAAAUUGUUGACUAUAUGGGGCGACCUCUAGUCAAUCCAUGUAUGUCAUGCAUGUGUGCACGUGUGUGUGCGCGCGCACGCGCACUCACACGCCUAUGUAAUUUCUCUUGUUGCUUGUAAUAAGGCCAUAGACAAUGUCCACAGUGAUAUGUGUCAUGUACGUUCUCAUAUGUCAA